rnacentral:tRNA from 1 species
GGGCCUUUAGUUCAGCCUGGUUAGAACGCGCCCCUGAUAAGGGCGAAACGCUAGUUCAAAUCUAGCAAGGCCCA